rnacentral:rRNA from 1 species
CGAGUAGGUGGAUAGUCAAGUUAGAUGUGAAAGCCCCAAGCUUAACUUGGGAAUGCCAUUUAAAACUGACUGUCUAGAGUUUGGGAGAGGGAAGAGGAAUUUCCGGUGUAGCGGUGAAAUGCGUAGAUAUUGGAAGGAACACCAGUGGCGAAGGCGACUUCCUGGCCCAAAACUGACACUGAGUCGCGAAAGCGUGGGGAGCGAACA